rnacentral:rRNA from 1 species
UACUCGCGGUCCAAGUCGCAGCCAUUUUUAUUGGGUCUAAAACAUCCGUAGCUUGCUUCUUAAGUUCCCUGUGAAAUCCUAUAUCUCAAAUGUAGGGCGGGCAGGGAGUACUGGGAGGCUAGAGACUGGAAGACGCAACGAGUACGUUCAAAGUAGCGGUAAAAUGUGUUAAUCUUGGACGGACUAACAAUAGCGAAGGCACGUUGCGAGGACAGUUCUGACAGUAAGGGAUGAAGGCUAGGGGCGCAAAACGGAUUAGAUACCCGUGUAGUCCUAGCAGUAAACACUGCACACUAAACAUCAGUACCUCUUCGAGAGGUAUUGGUGCUGAAGCGAAGGCGAAGAGUGUGCUACCUGGGAAGUAUAGUCGCAAGGCUGAAACUUAAAGGAAUUGGCGGGGAGACACUACAACGAGUGACGCGUGCGGUUCAAUCAGAUUCUACACCGUGAACCUCACCAGGAGCGACAGCAGAAUGAAGGUCAGUCUGAAGGGCUUACCUGACACGCUGAGAGGAGUUGCAUGGCCAACAUAAGCCUGUGCCGUGAGGUGACCUGUUAAAUCAGGUAACAGGCAAGACCCCCAUCCCUAUUUGCUACGUGCACAAUAUGGAGAUUGCCUUGGAAACGAGGAUGAAAGUUGGGGCUAUGUUAGGUGGUACAGCCCGAAUCCCCUGGGCGACACGCGCGCGUCAAUGGUGGAUACAGUGGGAUGCAACACCGAAAGGUGAAGCUAAUCUCUUAAAGUCCAUCUUAGUUUAGAUCGAGGUUUGUAACUCAGCCUCGUGACACUGGAAUUCGUAGUAAUCGGAUGUUAUCAACGUCCGGUGAAUAUGUCACGGUCUCU